GCCGCCCUGCCAGCCGAUCGGAUGAGAGGAAAUCCACUGCAUGCAGAUUUUAACAUCAGCUGCCAAACAUAAUGAUCCAAGCUAGAACGGUCCUGAGGGACAGACCAGUUCCAGAGACACUCACUGGUCAGAGGAAGAGAUGUGUGUGCAGCGCGGCUGAGAGCCGUCUCUCUGAUUUCCCCAGAGACGCCGAUGAGUCAGCGAGUGAAGCGCAGACCUGCCGGUUCGGCUCGGCUUUACACACUCAUUCAUGAGCACAUCAGCCUCACCUGUUCCCUUAUCUGGGCUUUAAAAGAGCACAUUUACAAACGCAUGCUUCCUGGACUGGGCGUCUCUGCUCGACUGCAGCAGAACACGGUGUCCAGAAUUAGAGGUCUGCAAUAGCAAAGAAAUGCAGGAUGUCUUAAAGAUGUCAGAGCUCAUCUUUGACGCCGAACUGACCUUUCUUGGGUGCAGCAGGACGGAUGUAAAACGGGAGCGUCUUCAUGGCUCCUCUGAACUCCUGU